AUGUAACCGGACCGGUCCUCUGCCGUCAAACGCAGCGGAUGGGAAUGGGAGAUAUCAUACACCCAAUGUUUAUUUACUUUUGUUGCUUUGGCGGGCCGUCCUCUUAGGCGUCGGCCCCGGCUGAUCGCGCCCGCCAGAGGACCCAAACUCUAUGUUUAGUGAUGUCUGAGUACUAUAUAAUAUUUA
rnacentral:misc_RNA from 1 species